AUGCAGCUGCGCGCAGGCAGCAAAGCUCACACACGUACUAAGGUCGAAGUCUCUAUACCGUCUUGGUUAAGGGCACGAUUUUCACUUGCCUGCACUUUCGCCCCGACUCAGCAUAUCUGCUUUCUCCGCCCCCCACUGGAGUGGGAAGUAUUUGUUAGCGCUCUUCUGUGCGGCUCCUUUGGGUGUGUAUGCCGCGGGAGGCCGCUGCGGGGCGCUCCCCGCUGGGUAGAGCAGAGCAGAGCGGGCGCCGCGCCGGAGCUGGGGCAGCGUCGGGCUGUGUCCGGGCGUAGCUGUAGGAUCCCUGGAUCGAAGGGGUGGUUGCAAGCUUCCUUAAGGUCAGCGGUAUUACGGUUAUUGUGGCUGAUCAGUCGUGCUGGCGUUCACGGAAAACAGCUGAUCAUGGUAACAGCUGGUCCUGCACCUUUGUGAAGUCUGCACAAAACUACGUACAGUCCUGUAGCCAAACUGUGGGCCUACAAAAGGAAAAAAAAAAAAAAAGAUGGUAAAACUUAACUUUCUAGAAACAGCUGACUCAGAUGUUUUUCCUAUGCUGAUUAGUACUAUUAAAAUGUUAUUUUCUAUAGAUGUCUCUUGGAAUUCUAGUCUCUUCAUCCGAUACAGUCCAGAAAACACCUCCUCUCUUGAUACUGAAUUAAAAUAAUAUUUUCAUGUUUUGAUAAUUGUAUUCCCUUUGCAAAAUACACUCAGGAAGAGAUAAUGACUACUUGAAAGGCCUUUUGGUUAGAUAUCAUAGAUUUUUCCCCAUAGUUACAUAGUUUAAAUUUAAUCCUACUAUGCAAGUACCUUUUUUUUUAAAAAAAAAAAAAAAAAUUUUGUAGUAUGUGAGGUCCAUCUAAAUCAACUUCAAGCUUUCUUCUGAAUGGAACUCCUGGAAAACUGUUACAGUUCUUGUAGUUAGCAGUUUUAAGCUUGUUUUUACUAUGUGUUAAAGUGCUUUCCUUGCCCCCCCACCCCCCUUGUCACUGUGCCCAAGGCCUAGUGCAUACAGUGAAGUGCAGGGACCUCAUUAGAACUAAUAACAACCAAGGUUUUCCCACUAGUGUUCAGACAUACUGUUCAACAGAACCAAUUCUAAGUUGUAUGACAAUGAGUCAAUCAUCUUACCCCAUAAAUAGCAAGCAGCUUCAGAACCCCUUGGAGAGUUCUUCUUCCAGGCAGCUGGCUGCAACUAAAAUCUCGCCUUGAGUGGGGACACCUCUCCAGGUGCACAGAAAUUCACCUGGAAUGUGGUGACACCUUGCUGACAGAUCCUUGGUAAGUGAUUUAUUGUUUUUAAGCUAUACUAGCUUUGCUAAGAUCUGAUCCUAGAUUCAUUAUGCACCCCCUACCCUCUGUAUUGCAAAUAAACAAGGAUAUCUAGCCGUUUUGAAUCUUGUU
rnacentral:lncRNA from 1 species